GGGGGGGGGGGGGGCUAGGAUGAAAAAUUUUGUCCUGCAUUUUUUUUUAGUUGUAAUCUCUGUCCUGCCUUUUUAUUUUUCACUCUAUUCGGUCCUGCCUUUUUUUUAUUAGUUUAUCCUGACUUUUUUUACCUAAAUUGUCAUCCUGCCUUUUUUUUUGCAAAGUGUCUCAUCCUGCCUUUUUUUUUUACUCAAAACUCCUGUCCUGCCUAUUUUUUUCAAAUUUCAUCCUAGCCCCCCAUAAAAAUCAAAUGGUAGCUCCCUAAGCAUGCACGUGGAGUUGCUAUCGAAAUUGACAUGAAAUUUACAUGAAAUUGACAACGUCGUCAUAGGUAAAAUAGCGAUAAAAAGAUUAUCAUUGUUCAUCUCAACUCGAAUGCCUUUCUCGCUUUCGCCGUCCCGGCUCAAGCGAGAAAAUCAAUAUCGUUGAGAUGAUCACCGAUAAUCUAUAAAUAUCA
rnacentral:lncRNA from 1 species